UACGUAGGGGGCAAGCGUUGUCCGGAUUUAUUGGGCGUAAAGAGCGUGUAGGCGGCCAGACAGGUCCGUUGUGAAAACUCGAGGCUCAACCUCGAGACGCCGAUGGAAACCGUCUGGCUAGAGUCCGGAAGAGGAGAGUGGAAUUCCUGGUGUAGCGGUGAAAUGCGCAGAUAUCAGGAAGAACACCCCGUGGCUAAGGCGGCUCUCUAGUACGGUACUGACGCUGAGACGCGAAAGCGUGGGGAGCGAACAGG
rnacentral:rRNA from 1 species